rnacentral:rRNA from 1 species
UACGAAGGGGGGCUAGCGUUGCUCGGAAUCACUGGGCGUAAAGGUGCGUAGGCGGGUCUUUAAGUCAGGGGUGAAAUCCUGGAGCUCAACUCCAGAACUGCCUUUGAUACUGAAGAUCUUGAGUUCGGGAGAGGUGAGUGGAACUGCGAGUGUAGAGGUGAAAUUCGUAGAUAUUCGCAAGAACACCAGUGGCGAAGGCGGCUCACUGGCCCGAUACUGACGCUGAGGCACGAAAGCGUGGGGAGCAAACAGG